rnacentral:rRNA from 1 species
GACGAACGCUGGCGGCGUGCUUAACACAUGCAAGUCGAACGGAAAGGCCCUGCUUUUGUGGGGUGCUCGAGUGGCGAACGGGUGAGUAACACGUGAGUAACCUGCCCUUGACUUUGGGAUAACUUCAGGAAACUGGGGCUAAUACCGGAUAGGAGCUCCUGCUGCAUGGUGGGGGUUGGAAAGUUUCGGCGGUUGGGGAUGGACUCGCGGCUUAUCAGCUUGUUGGUGGGGUAGUGGCUUACCAAGGCUUUGACGGGUAGCCGGCCUGAGAGGGUGACCGGCCACAUUGGGACUGAGAUACGGCCCAGACUCCUACGGGAGGCAGCAGGGGGGAAUAUUGCACAGUGGGCGGAAGCCUGAUGCAGCAACGCCGCGUGCGGAAUGACGGCCUUCGGGUUGUAAACCGCUUUCGCCUGUGACGAAGCGUGAGUGACGGUAAUGGGUAAAGAAGCACCGGCUAACUACGUG